UGCCCCCUGGCCCAGUUGGUUAAGGCGCACGACUGUUAUUCCGGGCCCAGCGUUUGGAGCUUCGGCAGUAAAAAUCCAUCAUUGGCCAUCGUGAGAUCGAGAGUUCGAGCCUCUCGGGGGCAG